AAGGCAAGCGGAUCUCUUAAAGCCGUUCUCAGUUCGGACUGUAGGCUGCAACUCGCCUACACGAAGCUGGAAUCGCUAGUAAUCGCGGAUCAGCACGCCGCGGUGAAUACGUUCCCGGGCCUUGUACACACCGCCCGUCACACCAUGAGAGUCUGUAACACCCAAAGCCGGUGGGAUAACCUUUAUAGGAGUCAGCCGUCUAAGGUAGGACAGAUGAUUAGGGUGAAGUCGUAACAAGGUAAC
rnacentral:rRNA from 1 species